GACGAACGCUGGCGGCGUGCUUAACACAUGCAAGUCGAACGGAAAGGCCCUGCUUUUGUGGGGUGCUCGAGUGGCGAACGGGUGAGUAACACGUGAGUAACCUGCCCUUGACUUUGGGAUAACUUCAGGAAACUGGGGCUAAUACCGGAUAGGAGCUCCUGCUGCAUGGUGGGGGUUGGAAAGUUUCGGCGGUUGGGGAUGGACUCGCGGCUUAUCAGCUUGUUGGUGGGGUAGUGGCUUACCAAGGCUUUGAUGGGUAGCCGGCCUGGGAGGGUGACCGGCCACAUUGGGACUGAGAGAGGGCCCAGACUCCAACGGGGGGCAGCGGUGGGGAAUAUUGCGCAAUGGGCGGAAGCCUGAUGCAGCAACGCCGCGUGCGGGAUGACGGCCUUCGGGUUGUAAACCGCUUUCGCCUGUGACGAAGCGUGAGUGACGGUAAUGGGUAAAGAAGCACCGGCUAACUACGUG
rnacentral:rRNA from 1 species